UAAAAUGAAUAAAUAAAUAUUUUAAGGCGGAUCUAUAUAUCCUCUUUUCUCUCUCAGUUUCCCAAUGAAGAGCACUCCAUUCAGGCGAUUUCUUACAUUUCUAUCUUCCAUUGAAGCAUUACUUUUGAGAAACCCUUUAAUUUUAGGAUCAAACUAUGAAAUUGGCACUUAUCUCCCUGCCCCUCCUGCCCUGGAUUUGACUACUUUGAUUUGUUGAAGGAGACGAAGGAUUUCAGUUAUUCUGUUUUGGAUUUUGUAGAUAUGAUCAAUUUGGGUAUUUCUCAAAAUCCGUCGCUGGCAAUGAAUGAUCUGAAGAUUUGAGUACGACGCGGCGACGAUUUUGGCAUUAUUCCGGUUACGGUAGCAGUCAAUGACUUGAGGCCUUGGCUCUCGAGGCGUAAAAAGAGGAAGGUUACCAUCAAGGUAGCUGAGGUCCUGAAAUGGGCACUACAAAUUACUAAACUCAAGUUUAAAUCUGCAAUGACAUGAAGUGCACCGAAAAUGUAAGGUCAUCUGUGCACCCAUUGUCGGGAGGCCUUUAAGGGUGUUUUCUACGUGUUGCAAGAAAGAGGUGCAGGUGGCUAUUGAGAAAAUUUCUGUUUCAUGUGAUGUUUUGUGUGUAUCCCACAUCAACUUAAAUGCAGAGAGUAUUGUGGAUGGCCGUUGCACUAGGAGCCAUGAUGAACAACCUAGUCAGAUGAAACAAAUGUAAUAGUGCGUUGACCUAGUGGAUUAGUUUUUCUUGGCAGUUUCAAAGACGUAUCUUGGCAACAGUAACAUGAACUGGUGCAUGGAGGCUGGAGUAGAUAUCCCAUAUCGGACUGCACCAACCAAUGGCACAAAUUUAGUGGUUUUAUUUGGACUAUAUGACUUCUUUGAGUCUCACAGUUGAAACUUGCGCGAAAAUAUUCACUUUUUACUUCAAGGACAAAGAGCAAGAUGGAACUUGAAAGAGAAUGCCAAGGGCUUCAGCCAAGGAAAAAGAGCAAGAUAUAUGCAAGACAGCAAGAUUCAAAUUGAAGUAGGAAAUCAAGGGUUUUAGCCAAGGAUAAAGAUACAGGUCUGUGGAAUUCUUUUUUUUUUGUUUUCCCCUCCACUUUCUAUGUUAUUGAAGAAUGAAGAUGUGCCUGAAAAUGCUACCCAAAGCUUAAACUCAGAUCAAUCAUUGUUGGUAUCGGCUUUUCCAAUUGUCUGAGGUACCAAACAGUUCUGUUGUCUGCUAACUGAUCAUCUCCAUUCCGCCCUCGAUUAUCUGGGAAUGGCACUUGCGGAGGUGAAGCUUUCUGAACCGAUGGCAUUUGGUGAAGGACAAACUGACUGCCACUUGCAACAGUCCUUCCUGAUGUUGAGUUUGGAAAUGGAAAGGAAACACCCAAGCUACCAUGAUUCACAACAGGGUACCUUGGUUGUACCAAGUUUUGAGUUUGUGUAGAAGCAAUAAAAGGGCGGCUUUGAGCUAUUGGUGCCCUUUCAUGCUGCAAAGUUCUGAAGCCAUUUGGGAAAUAUGGGUGGUGUCGCUGCUGAAAGGUGGAUGGUGGAGUGAGGCGGGGUUGGAAAGGAUUGUUGGUAAUGAUUCUCUCUCUGUUCUCUCUCUGUCUAGCUAUCAAGGCAGCCGUUAGAUUAUUUUGGGUUCUCCGAGCAAACUCAUUUUGAUGAGACUCAUAGUGCUCUAUUAGAGAAUGGCUGCUGAGGAAUACCUUCUCACAAACUCGGCAUGCAAGCACCAUAGGACUCAUAGCAUAAGGCCUAGAAUGCUCGUUGCUGUAGAGACGGUGAGGAUUUGAGUUCCACCGCGUAGACAUUGUGAAAACAAUUACUUGAGAGAAAAACGAAGGGGAGGGAUAGGUGAAGAGAGAAAGGAAGAAGAGACAAGGUACACAUUUCGCCGUGGGGGAGCAGGGUAAUAUAUAGCUGAGUUUUUCGCCUUUUCUAUAGAUCAAUGGGUAGGAUAAUGAUCUUCUCUAUCCUUUUUGGUUUUGCCAUCUACGAAUUUUCUGUCUCAUUUAUGAUUCUUCUUACAAUUUUGAUAACCUAAUACCUAUAAUUAUUUCUUUAAUCAUAAAAAUGGUCAAGAAUUUUAUUAUAGAAGGUUAAGGUAAUUGAAUGAAAGUCUCCUAAUAUCAGGAACUCCUGAUUUCUUACUUUAUUAAUUUGAAAAUCUGAUAUGGGCAAGAACAUUUUUAGAAACUUAGGCUGGCAUUAAAAAUGUGCAUGAAUCAUUUAUUGUGUAUCCCUAUAAAAUUAAUAUUUUGGGUGAGAAAGCAAGGGAGAUGAUAUAAAUAUUUUUACAGCUUCAUAUUGCCUCAAUUAAUAUCUCCACUUUGCUUCUUUUCCUUUUUUCCUAGGUUAUUAAAGGUCCAAAUGCAAAUUUUGCCAGCUAAUAAUAUAAUUAUGUAAGCUUUUUAGUUUAAUAGAAAUUUUCUUGGCUUGAUAUUUUCCUAUUGUAGUGACCUUUUACAUUAAUCUUAAGUAAUAUAUCUUUCAUGA